GCUAUAGUACACAGCACUCCAUCUUCCCUGCUAUAGGCGGAUAUAAGCCUCUCGUGCGAUGAUACACACUCUGCAGGGAGAGGAUUUUUCUCGAUGAGGAAAACAUUCUCUAUCAAAUCGUCACAUGGGGUCAAUCGCUUCCUGCAUCGCGACUGAACCACUGUACGCGUUUGUGCGUUUUGUUUUAGCCGCUGGAACUCGUAUAGGGUCGCAUCGUUAAUAAGAUUACCGUUUCUCGCGCGCCGCUGAUGUUACAUAUUUUGUUGUGAUGAUAAGCAAAGUUAAAAAUGCCAUGUCCUCGUUUGUGGGCGGAAUGAUCCCGCACGGCCACCACCACCAUCAGCAGCAGCACGGAUCCGCGCAGAACGGCGGCACGGACGGGCUGCCGCCGCGCUUCCCCUACACCAGACCCGAGUUUCUGGACCUGACACAGGAGCUGCUGCAGUACUCCACCGAGCACGCGUCCAGACCGGUCAUCACGCUCAAGAGAGACAGCAGGCUGCCCUGGCGAACAGGAUACGCGGAGGUGAUAAAUGCUGGGAAGAGCAUGCUGAAUGAAGACCAGGCUUCCUGUGAUCUGCUGUAUAUCAGGAAGAUAAGUAGUAAGCAGCAGCGCUGCUCCAUGUUACUGGAAGACGGUGGGGAAACCUCAGGCAUUCCCAUACACUUCUGGGGAGUGUUUGAUGGACACGCCGGCUCUGGUGCUGCUCUCAUGGCAUCCAAACUUCUCCAUCGUAUCAUCCGUGAUCGGCUUUGUGAUGUGGCUCAUCUCCUUGAAAAUCAAAACAACUCUCCACCUAUCUGCCUGGCUAAGAACGGGAGCCCCUUCCAGGCUGAGGCGAAGAAAGGUGCCUGCCUAGAUGGAGAGGAGCAGGAUGGGCUCCUGGAUGAGCCGCGGUUCCACAUGGAGAAAGACAUCAGUGUGGAGAGCCUGGUGAUGGGGAUCAUAGAGACCGCCUUCAUACAGAUGGACGACCUGAUAGAGAAGGAGAAGGAAUCUUACAGCAUCUCUGGCGGCUGUUGUGCCUUGAUUGCAAUUCACUUGUUGGGGAAACUCUAUGUAGCAAAUGCUGGAGACAGCAGAGCCAUAAUUGUCCGGAACAAUGAGGUCAUCCCAAUGUCCAAUGAAUUCACACCAGAAAGUGAACGACAGCGGCUACAGUACCUGGGCUUCCUCAAACCGGAGCUGCUCGGGAAUGAGUUUACUCAUAUUGAAUUCCCCAGACGUAUCCAACACAGUGAACUCGGCAAGAAGAUGCUUUUUAGAGACCACACAAUGACUGGCUGGGCAUAUAAGACAAUCGUAGAAGACGAUCUCAAGUUCCCGCUGAUUUAUGGAGAGGGGAAAAAGGCUCGAGUCAUGGCUACAAUUGGUGUAACACGUGGUUUAGGAGAUCACGACUUGAAAGUGUACAACUCCAACAUUUAUAUUAAACCUUUCCUAUCCUGCUGCCCAGAAGUCAAGGUGUACAACAUCUCUGAGCACAAACAUGGGUCUGAUGAUGUCCUGAUCAUGGGUAGUGAUGGACUAUGGGACGUUACAGCUGACAGAGAUGUUGCCGAUGCAGUAUCGACUUUCUUGUCUGGUCGUGAGCCCAAUGAUCCCUUGAGGUACACUUUAGCAGCACAAGACCUCCUGAUGCGCUCACGUGGAGUCCUGAAGGAGCGAGGCUGGCGCCUGCCCAAUGAGAGACUUGGCUCUGGUGAUGACAUCACAGUGUUUGUCAUUCCAUUGGCCAGGGCAGAGUUAGAGACAUGACCAGGUUGGUCCGCCUUCACUGGACAAGCACACCAGGACACGUCCCUGGCUCCAUCCCAGAGAAAGGGCGAGGAAAACCAAGAAAUCCAUUUUCAAUCCAUCAGAUGGCUCGGAUACGAGAGACGUUAAAUGCAACUUCCCCUUGUCCUCCUUCUUCUCCUCCGAGUCAUACCAUGAAUAUCGUCAAAGCCCAUGUCAGGUGUGAGGUGACAUCAUCAAGUGCCAUUCCUCUUGCUCUCUAUUUCCUUUCUGAUUUGUCGAACGCACCUCUGCAAGUCAGUACGAGACAGUAGGACUUGUAACCCAUGAGUAUUUGUUAACAUUGGUGGGCCGUUUGAAUCUCAAUCUCAGUGUGGCAAAAGGAAUGAGCCAAUACUUCAAAAAAAAAUCAAAGCCCUGAUGGCAAGAGAAAUAAAAACCGAAGCACUUUAUAUGUAGCAGAAUCCAUUUGAGCUGUGAUUUAAAAUGCUGAUUUUAUUUCUCUAACUCUAGGCUCAUUUUCCCUAGACCUUCAAAAAGCCAUGUACAAUUAACCCAAAACAUCUAGUACAGUGUAAGUCAUUGACGUGCACAAGGCUUUCCAUUCACAACCGAGCUGAUUGCUUGAACUGCUGUAGAUUUAAACAUCGUAGCUGAAUGGCCUGUUUAUUUUGCUGUAGAUAAAACCUAAUUUGGUCUAAAACCGUGUCAGUAAAGAAUCUCAAAUCCAACAACCAAUAGAUCCUAAC